rnacentral:miRNA from 1 species
AGAUUUUAUAAUAACCAACUUGCCAAUGCGCACAUUUCAUUAAUGAUCAUUAAUGAAAUGUGCGCAUUGGCAAGUUGGUUAUUAUAAAAUCUGU